AUGGCCACACUUGGAAAUGGUGCAGGUGCAAAUGCUGCUGAUGAAACUGUAAUAACAAAUCAAAAUUCUGGUGCAAAUGCAAGUGUGAUUGAUGAAACUAAUGAUGCUUCAUUGUUUGGGGAUGUUACUGAUGAAAUGAUGUCAAGCAUACUGACAUUAAUCCAAGUGUGCAAACAACAACAACCAUUUGCUCAACAACUACCAUAA